rnacentral:rRNA from 1 species
UACGAAGGGGGCUAGCGUUGCUCGGAAUUACUGGGCGUAAAGCGCACGUAGGCGGCUUCUUAAGUCGGUGGUGAAAUCCUGGAGCUCAACUCCAGAACUGCCUUUGAUACUGAAGAUCUUGAGUUCGGGAGAGGUGAGUGGAACUGCGAGUGUAGAGGUGAAAUUCGUAGAUAUUCGCAAGAACACCAGUGGCGAAGGCGGCUCACUGGCCCGAUACUGACGCUGAGGCACGAAAGCGUGGGGAGCAAACAGG